AACGUAGGAGCCUAGCGUUAUCCGAAUUCACUGGGCGUAAAGCGCGUGCAGGCGGCCUACUAAGUUGGAUGUGAAAUCUCCUGGCUCAACUGGGAGAGGACGUUCAAAACUGGCGGGCUCGAAGACGGCAGAGGAAGGUGGAAUUCCCGGUGUAGUGGUGAAAUGCGUAGAUAUCGGGAGGAACACCAGUGGCGAAAGCGGCCUUCUGGGCCGUUCCUGACGCUCAGACGCGAAAGCUAGGGGAGCAAACGGG
rnacentral:rRNA from 1 species